rnacentral:rRNA from 1 species
AUGCCUGACAGCUAGCCUUAACAAUCAGAUUUUAUUAUUGUGAGACCAAUGACACAUAACACAAUUAAAUAAACCAUUCUACCCCUAAGUACGGGCGACGAAAAAGGAAAUAACGAGCGACAGAAAAAGUACCGCAAGGGAACGCUGAAAAAGAAAUGAAAAAAACCAUUUAAGCACUGAAUAGCAGAGCUGACCCCUCGUACCUUUUGCAUCAUGAUUUAGCAAGUAAUAUACAAGCAAAGAGCCCUUUAGUUUGUAACCCCGAAACUGAGCGAGCUACUUCAAGACAGUCUUUAUAGGACAACCCCGUCUCUGUGGCAAAAGAGUGGGAAGAGCUUCAAGUAGAGGUGAAAAACCUACCGAGCACAGUUAUAGCUGGUUGCCUGAGAAAUGAAUAGAAGUUCAGCCCUUUAAAAUUUCCCGUCCCACAUGCCUGUGCUAAAAUUGGUCAAGGAAAUUAAAGGAGUUAAUCAAAAGGGGUACAGCCCUUUUGAUAAAAGAAACAACUUUUAUAGGUGACCCAGGAUCAUA